rnacentral:rRNA from 1 species
AUUGAACGCUGGCGGCAGGCCUAACACAUACAAGUCGAGCGGAUGAAGGGAGCUUGCUCCUGGAUUCAGCGGCGGACGGGUGAGUAAUGCCUAGGAAUCUGCCUGGUAGUGGGGGAUAACGUCCGGAAACGGGCGCUAAUACCGCAUACGUCCUGAGGGAGAAAGUGGGGGAUCUUCGGACCUCACGCUAUCAGAUGAGCCUAGGUCGGAUUAGCUAGUUGGUGGGGUAAAGGCCUACCAAGGCGACGAUCCGUAACUGGUCUGAGAGGAUGAUCAGUCACACUGGAACUGAGACACGGUCCAGACUCCUACGGGAGGCAGCAGUGGGGAAUAUUGGACAAUGGGCGAAAGCCUGAUCCAGCCAUGCCGCGUGUGUGAAGAAGGUCUUCGGAUUGUCAAGCACUUUAAGUUGGGAGGAAGGGCAGUAAGUUAAUACCUUGCUGUUUUGACGUUACCAACAGAAUAAGCACCGGCUAACUUCGUG